GGGGUGGGCUCUGAGCAAGGGACGUGAAGAACAGCUCCUCUGUUUAUAACUCACCCAACAGGAUCCGGGGUCAUUGUGAUGAGAGGGACACAAAAUUUGUGACCCCCCCCCCCGUGAACAAAUUCCCUGAUGU